GAAGUCUUCUGAAGUGGAAGUCUGGGCUAGGACUCUUGGAAGCUGGUUUUUGUUACAGGCUUUGCGAAUGAACAGGCUGUGUACCCUGGGACAGUCGCUUUGUGGGUUGGAGAAGGAGAGACCAGGUGAGGGAGUCAGAUGGACAAACUGAAGGCACACUUAGUGUGUUUAAGCUCAUGGUACGGAGUACAUUGUGGCGGCCCAGCCAUCACAACACGAACGUAACUGAGUUGGGGAGUGAGGAUUGGGAAAGG
rnacentral:lncRNA from 1 species